UGCGCAGUUGACUGGCUGCAAGUAAUACAGUAUAACGAACAGGCUUUACUUUUUAUAUUACAGCUAAAAUGUCAUCAUCUUUUUUCAAAUAACUAUCUGUUUACAUUUAUUUAAAUUCGUGCAUCAUGCUCAAAAGUGUGCUGCUCAUCUGUUUCUUUAUUCUACUUUUGAAUGAAGCGUCUGUCCAGGAAGUAGUAGUUCAGGGUUUUAUCGGAGGUUCUGCAGUUUUGCCGUGCCAUCCUGGGAACAGAAGUCUUGCAGGCAUCAAUGCACACUGGAGAUAUGAUGACAGGAAGAAUGUUUAUGACAUACUAAAUGGCAUAGCGAUGACUAAGGAGCAGGACCCAGAGUACAAGGGCAGAACUGUAACGUUCCCUGCAGAGUAUUCGAAGGGAAACUUCUCCCUCAAGCUCGGGAGUCUUCAGAAAAGUGAUGAAGGGUCGUACUGCUGCUUCAUCCCCGAGCUUGGUCUCAACGAAUGCGUAAAUCUUCAAGUCAAAGAGAAACCAAUAGGAAUCCAAAAGCCAGGCUCUAAUGGUGGAGUUGAAACCACAGCAGGGAGGAUUGUAUCUCUGUUAAUUCCCCUCUUCUCUGUUACUCUUCAGCUCUGAGUAUGAAGCUAUAUAAUGCACACCUCAGCCUCAACUCCCCGGUUGUGCGACACGCACUUGUUUGUGCAUGAGCAAAGCUAUUUUUAGGAGUCUAACUUGAAAACGCCAGACCACUGAUUCGUCAAACUAGUCUAUGUUCUUCCAACUAUUUUAUAGAAUCCUGAAGGUUUGAUAAAACGUGACUUGUAUUGGAUUGUAUUUAGUUAUAAAGACCUCACCUGCUUCAGGCUGAUCCGUUUCAAUGCAGUGUAUGCAGUAGCUUUAUUUAUUUGUUUAUUUAAUAUAAAAUAAUUAUAUUUGUAUUUAAUUUAAUAUUCAAGUUAUUUAAUUUAGUUUAAUAUGUAUAUGUUGAAUUGAUUAAACUAGUUGUGUAACAGUGCUAUGCUACCUGUAAUGCAAAUAAUUUGUGUUUAGAAAAAUAUGUUGUGUUGUUUAUAUAUAUAUAUUUAGUUCUUCUCACAACUGCUUGAGCUUUCUUGAAUAAAUAUAGAUGAUUAUAAUCAUGCGUUCUCUGAAGAAGUUUAAAAAUCUUUUUUUAUUCUCUCGCAGCUUUACUACACUUAUCUGUCCACCAAGGAACCGCUUUCCGUGUCAUUUUUCCCUUACUUUUUGGAAUCGAUUCUGAUGCUGCUUCUAGUAUUACUGCACAUACUUUUUCAUUAAGGAUUUCAAUAUCUUGAUUUGAAUCAAUUGCAGCCAUUUUGUCCUUGCACAAUUCCUCAAAUUUAGCCCAAUUUUCUUUUUCAAAUACCAAUUUUCCUCCUCUUUGAGUUAUAGUUCUAUCUGCCUCUAUAUCUAAUGUUAUUACUAUUGUGUAAUGAUCACUCCCAAUACUAGAUUCCCCCAAAGCAUCCCAAUUACACAUGAACUUCCUUUAAUUUAUCUUAUUCCAAUUUUUUUACAUGGGUUAUAAUAAUUUAUAAUAACUAUCUCCUGUCCUCUACUCCAUAUUCCCAAAACAUUAUAUUCUUGAUCCCUUCCCUUUCCAAGUAUUCUAUAUGAAAUUCUUUUUUAAAUAAAUGUUGCACACCCACCACCAAUCCUUUCUUCCCUAUCUUGCCGUACUAUACUACAUCCCCCUGUAUAACAAAAUCUAAACAAUCAUCCAAGUUUCUUGAACACAUAUUACAUACGGUUUUAUAAUUAAAUCUUCAAUAAAAUGCUUGAACUCCUGUCCAUUUGCUAUCAGAGAUCUUGCAUUCCACUGAAUUAUUGAAAUCAUCUAUAUGCAUUACACAUAUGUUUCUUGACUUGAUCUUAUCUCCAAUUCAUCUCUGACUUCUUCCCAGGUCAAGCCUGUCAUUCCAAGAUGCCAUAUUGCUGCUAUUACAAUUAACUGAGUCUUCUGUGUUUUUGAUUCAAUCCCAGCUGUACUAUUUAUAACUCCUACAAUAAAUGUCACUAUUUUUUUCUUUUCAAUCAUCAUAAAUUCUCCCGGAACUUUGUUUACUUCAAUUGCAACCCCUGACUGACCUCUUUGCUCUUUAGUUUGUCCUUUAACCUGUUUUGCUGCCUCUGCAUAUGUUAGCUUCUUCUCCACCCUUCUUUUCUGAAUAUCAAUUUCCAUUUUCAAUACUUCACACCCCCUGAAUGCUGCACUAUGUGCCUCUCCACAGUUGCAACAUUUUGGU